CGCUUUUGACCGGACCAUCUGAUUAGUGCAGACUGGCCUAUAGUAUGAGCCCAAUAAUGAUUUUAGCUUUAAGUGUACCUUAUUUGGUCCCAACAUGUUUAAAAUGUUCCUUGUGCCUGUUACAGCAGCACAUACAUCCGCAGAAUAUUGACACGACUGUCGCAGGAUGAUGUGUUUGCUGCAGAUGCCAUUUAAAAAUAUAGGCAGUGUAAGCACUGUAGAAUCUAAUUAUUUCUUUGCAAAACCUAAUUAGGCAUUAAAAAAGGUUAACGCCAGCGCCUGAAACGUUUUUGUUUAAUAAUCCCAUUACUGCCGGCUCAUCAUGUAUAAAAUGGUGCAGGAGGACACUAUGUUUCCACUCGUUUAUGGGAAUCUCUGAGAAAUAGUCGCAGAUUUUUUGACUCUUUUCUGCGACUGGAAAUUAGGGCUUUGCAUAAAAACUACGAAGACUGAGCUCAGCGCAGGACGGAAGCUUCCUGGAAGGCUGUGAUUGGCUGCCUGUCCGGGCAGCGAUAGCAGCCCUGGAGCCGAGGAUGAUUGAUGACGUUGGGGGCAAGGCCGAGCACCGGCAGCAUAAAGCCCCAUAGACGCCUCAAUAAAGAGGCUGGCUAUAGUGGAGAGCCCAGGCCCCGCUCAAUAGGGCCCCUCCGCCUCUGAGGACCCACGGCGUGCAGAGGAGUGCAUGGAGACAGGCAGAGGAAGAGAGGGAGAGAUGCUCUGUUGUUGGAUAAUCUGUUUAGCUAUCGAGCCAGCAGUCGUCUGAGGCUGGAUAAGUGCAGCAGCGGAUGUGUGUGGGGUGAGAAUAGCAGGGGCUGGCUGGUGAAGCGCUGGAGGGAGACAAACAGAGAAAGAGAGAAGAGAUACAUCAUCCAGUCCCAGAAGGCAUUAUGGGAAAAAGAGGAAGCUAAAAAUGAGAUCUGCAGUCUGCUUUCUGUGCACGCUGCUGUUAUCAUCAAAGACCAAAAAAGUUCAUCCGCAGAAAGCUGCCACUCCGGUGGCCAUUGUUGAGUGUGCAAAUGCAGAACUGCAGUGACCUUUGCUUCCGAGGAUCACUGAGGCCCCCGUAGGUUGGAUUCCUUCAGUGCUGGGUCCACGGCUGGGCCCCCAGACCACAUGCAGCACCCCCCAGUUCACAGCAGUGCUGAAAAACACAAUUAGGCAGCAAUCAUCUCCUAUGGGUCAGCUCUUAGUGAUCCAGCAUGGCUACAUGGUGUCCUGCAGACUGUCCUGGCUGGAGCUGCUGGAUGGAGCUCUGAGAGAGUGAUGUGUUGAGGAGGAUGUAGAAGGUCAGUUUAACCCAAUCCUUUUCCAUUUGGAUUUCAAGAUUUAAAAAAGGACUGCAAAUAAGAAAGAACCAGAAUGAAGAGGUUUAAACUGCUUUGUUUAAUGUUUUACCUGUAAAGAAGAUUGAUUUUUUUGGUGUAAUAUUUCCCUUUUUCUGCUGUUUCUGAAAAUAACAUACAUAAAGUUUUGUCAAAUGAAA